GUUGUAUGGUUAAGUGACUAAGCGUACACGGUGGAUGCCUUGGCAGUCAGAGGCGAUGAAAGACGUAGUAACUUGCGAUAAGCCCAGAUUAGGUAGUAACAACCAUUUGAGUCUGGGAUUUCUGAAUGGGGAAACCCACGUGCAUAAGCACGUAUCCUUACCUGAAUACAUAGGGUAAGGAGGCGAACCGGGGGAACUGAAACAUCUAAGUACCCCGAGGAAAAGAAAUCAACCGAGAUUCCGAAAGUAGCGGCGAGCGAAAUUGGACUAGCCCUUAAGCUUUACACGCGUUAGACGAACGGUCUGGAAAGUCCGACGAUACAGGGUGAUAGUCCCGUAGUUGACGACGUGUGUUCAGUGAAAUCGAGUAGGGCGGGACACGUGAUAUCCUGUCUGAAUAUGGGGGGACCAUCCUCCAAGGCUAAAUACUACUGACUGACCGAUAGUGAACCAGUACCGUGAGGGAAAGGCGAAAAGAACCCCUGUGAGGGGAGUGAAAUAGAACCUGAAACCGUGUACGUACAAGCAGUAGGAGCAGGCUUUGUCCUGUGACUGCGUACCUUUUGUAUAAUGGGUCAGCGACUUAUAUUCAGUGGCAAGGUUAACCAUCUAGGGGAGCCGUAGGGAAACCGAGUCUUAACUGGGCGUUCAGUCUCUGGAUAUAGACCCGAAACCAGGUGAUCUAGCCAUGGGCAGGUUGAAGGUUGAGUAACAUCAACUGGAGGACCGAACCGACUAAUGUUGAAAAAUUAGCGGAUGACUUGUGGCUAGGGGUGAAAGGCCAAUCAAACCUGGAGAUAGCUGGUUCUCCCCGAAAGCUAUUUAGGUAGCGCCUCGGACGAAUACUACUGGGGGUAGAGCACUGUUAAGGCUAGGGGGUCAUCCCGACUUACCAACCCUUUGCAAACUCCGAAUACCAGUAAGUACUAUCCGGGAGACACACGGCGGGUGCUAACGUCCGUCGUGGAGAGGGAAACAACCCAGACCGCCAGCUAAGGUCCCAAAUUACUACUAAGUGGGAAACGAUGUGGGAAGGCUCAGACAGCCAGGAUGUUGGCUUAGAAGCAGCCAUCAUUUAAAGAAAGCGUAAUAGCUCACUGGUCGAGUCGGCCUGCGCGGAAGAUGUAACGGGGCUAAGUAGUAAACCGAAGCUGCGGCAAUAUACUUUUGUAUAUUGGGUAGGGGAGCGUUCUGUAAGCGGUUGAAGGUGUGUGGUAACGCAUGCUGGACGUAUCAGAAGUGCGAAUGCUGACAUGAGUAACGAUAAAGGGGGUGAAAAACCUCCUCGCCGGAAGACCAAGGGUUCCUGUCCAACGUUAAUCGGGGCAGGGUAAGUCGACCCCUAAGGCGAGGCCGAAAGGCGUAGUCGAUGGGAAACGGGUUAAUAUUCCCGUACUUCUUACAAUUGCGAUGGGGGGACGGAGAAGGCUAGGUGGGCCUGGCGACGGUUGUCCAGGUUCAAGUGCGUAGGCU
rnacentral:rRNA from 1 species